GGGAUUCAAUGGAAAAUAAAACGUGACUGGAGUGCUCGAUCCCAGCAAUUUACCGUAUUUCAUAAAAUUGCCGGCGCGAUAAUCGGCGCUCACAUACUCUACCCGGACGUUAUCUUCAGCCCUGGCAACAUUUCUCGCGACAAUAAAUUGCAUCGCGAUUUGCCGACUUGGCAACUCGGACAUCGUUCUCCGCGAUUUAUUUUUAUAUUGCGUUUCGAAAUAACUCGAAAUUUUUUGAUAUUUCUCCAAAAUCGGGCGCUUUAGCGUUGUAAAUUUUACAGAUGUAGAAUUUUAUAUUGGUAAAUGAUUUGAGAAAUCGAUUUCAUAUAUGCUCCUUUCCGUGACAAUCAGCUUUAUGACGCUUGUAAAAAGGUUUUCAUAAAAAAAAAAAUUUUGUUUCUUUUUAAUAGCGUUAUAUGACUGCACAUAUUAAAAUUAUAUUCAACAAUGACUGAGUAAUACCCUUUUAUUAUUUAUGUAUUUAUUUUUUUGCCAAAAAUCUAUUUUAACAUUUAUUCGAAAAACACACAAUUGUCGUCGCUUUGUUCAUUUAUAAAUUAAAUAAUUUAAAAUUAAAAAGUAAACAACGAUGUAAAUGUUAUUUACUUUUUAACAUAGCUUUUUUUUCAUAACAAAAAGUUAAAAUUGCGGGCUCUAUGUAAAUUCUGACGCGUGCCAUAAACAAAACUGAACGAAGUAUUGAUUUUAUGUUGUUUCACAUUGCAAAAUGCGUCAAUUAUAUCAAUCAAUUAUAAUUAUCGAGCGACACGUAUUAGAUAGCGCUAAGCAAUCAAUUUGAACAUUUAUAACGUAAAUGUUAUAUUAAAUACGUAUCAGUGUGUAGAAAAUUUAAAAAAUAUUCCAUUUAAAUUAAUAUAAUCGAAUGAAGCAGAUUUUAACACGAGUUUCAAGAAAAUGCAUUUGCGUACCGUGAAAAAUGCAUCUGAAUUUAUCGCUCGUUCGAUUCGCAAUUGGAUUAACGGCACCGGAACUCAAUAACUGAAUGCAAUCAGCAUAAUCUAAGCUUAAGUAGUCUAUUGUUACGCACUUUGAUUAUGGCCUAAUUUUCUAUCGUUCAUGAUUAGCCGUUAAUUAACGCAACGUUGAUCAGCAUGGAGAUAAAUUGUCAAAAUAUAUGACAUCAAAAUUUUGACGUCAGAAAUCCGCAUACACACAUGGAUUGGAGUAUGCAUAAAAUUAAGCAACGAUAAAAAUUUAAUAUUCACAGAAUAUGAAAAUGCACGUAAACGUACGAAAUUUUUCUAUAAUUUCUAUAACGCAUUAAAUAAAAUUAAAGUAUUGGACAAAUCUUAUUUUAAAAGAUUUCCAUCUCUUAAUCGUCCUAUUAUUUUCUUUGCAAUUCGAUAAAUUUUAUACAUUUUUAUUAAUAAACAAAAAAAAAUUUUUUAAAUAAAUAUUAAAAAAAUGUUGAAAAAAAAACUCAUCUGAUAUAUAAUACACACGUAUCGUGUGUAUAAAAACUAAUUGAAUUUAAAUAUUAGGAAAUAUGUAUACGUUUUACAAGAACGGGGUUCAACGCAACAGAAUAGCGUCAAUAAAAAUGCAAUUGUUUCAUUGCAACUAAUAAUUAGAAGCGAUGAUUGACGCGACGCGUAAUCACGCGUUAGCGGAGAGUAAUUACGAAAAAUAAGGUAACAAUAACGGACAUGGCAGAUACACGCGUGCGUGUAAAAGUUAAUUUUGCAAUUGCAAAUAAAUGCGAAUAAAAUGGUCGAAUAAUCAAAACGGGGCUCACCGUGCGCGACAAUUUAAUGCAAUAAUGCAAUUGCCGGACGAUUAUUGCGAAAUACGCAUAAAUAAUCAUUCUGUCAAUGGCAACGACGGCAGAAUACGCGCGCGCGCUUAAAAUUUUGACCAUUGAUUAGCCCAGAAGAAUUGUAUACGUCGCGCAAUUAUAUCCCUGGAUAUAUCCUUUUUAUCGCCAUUUUGCAAUCAGUUCUGCCCAUUUAGUUUCGUAUACGCAAUAAUUGUCAUGUUGCGUUUCAUCUGGACACAAAACACCAUGGUACAGGCAUGCACGCGCACACACAGUUUUCUAAAAGAAUGCAAUUUGACCGUAGCCGUUAUUGUAUCUUAAAAAAAGAAUUGCGCUGGGUGCAAUAACUAAAUGCCAUUUGCAUAAUGGUAUUUCAUUACACCGCGAUUCUUGCAACAGCUGUCUUAUCGCGCAACGUUCUCAAUGAUUCGACUCGAUUGACGCCAAGCGAAACGUGGAACGACAUCAUUUUCACAUUUCAUCUUUAAUCGUGCACGCUUAAACUGCGCUGCGUGAAUUGUUGAGCUAAUUAAAUUCACAGAGGGAGGAUUACCCCGGGAUUAUGUGCGAUUGCACGGAAACGGAGCAACGGGUGUCGGUUAGCGUUAGUUUUCACGUAUUGUUUCGUUGCCGGAGAGGCAAGAGAGUGGUUAAUCAAACGUCGAGCACUCCUGUCAUCAUUUGUCCCACCUAACGAUUAUAUCGCGGGACUGACGGAAGGAUCGAGAUAGUGAUGCGAACAGGCGGACGCGGCGCGGCGGGCACGUAGAGACAGAAAGACGAACGUGGUGCACAGAGUGGUUUCACUCUGCGCAAAACACACUCAGGCACGCAUACAAAUCAACGCGUACGCACACAUACAGACACACACACACAUACACACACACGCAUACAAAUCAAGCAGACGCGCGUGUUAACGCGCUCGUCGGACACAUGUUGGAUUCACCGAUCCGUGAGUACAAACGCACCGACGUCUCGGGCACACGUUUCCUAUGCAGCUACGUACUGGAUCAUGCCUAAUGGCGACCCUAAUCAGUCGGCGAAUGCGUUGAUUGGGCCGCGGCUCCGCAUUCUCAUUCGGCAGCGGGCGCCCGCGAUCGCGACACGCAGCCGGCGUUAGCAUCGACACCGUAUCGACGCGAAAAAUUUGUACAUAAUGUCUGUAUUAUAACUUGCGCGACAUCACACUCACACGCCUUUCGCGCCUUUCCGCAUAUGGAGAAACUUCGAGACGCGAGCCGAUCUCUCCUCUCCUCGCUCUUUUCGGAUGCGUCCGAGACGAAUGUGACACGGAGGAACCACGAUCCAAACUUGUGACGAGAGAGAGGGAGGGAGGGAGAGAGAGAGAGAGACACAAUUUCACUUUCUAUUUGUGUGUGUUCGAUGUGAUAUCCUGCCAGAUAGCACUGGCCCAGCAAUUGGCCUCUCUUCCUGAUCGGAAAAAGCUUUGCUACCCGUGCAAAAAGCGUUUUCUAUCAAUUUAUUUUAAGUUUCAGCCUGAAUUGUUUUUAUUUUCUCUCUCUUUUUUUUAUACAUAUAUAUAGAACGGUGCUGUGCAAACGCACAUAUUUAUUUAAUAAUGUAAUUUUGAAAUAUGACUUUUAGAUAGAAUUUUUUGGCAAACUGCGCUUCGGUAUUGACAAGGACACAUCGCAGUUGUCAGAAACCGAUUUGAUUCCCUGUAAAACGUAUUGUUGAAUAUUUAAAGGACGCGUGUCUUUUUACACGUGCCGCGUUUGAAUUUGAAAGAAAUUCAAUUAUUUCGUUACAAGCGAAUAUAUCUUCGGUAAGCCGUAAGAUGUAGAAAAAAAGUUUUAGGUCAUAUUUUUUUUAAUUUUUCAAAACAAAAAAAAAUUGCACACUUUGCAACCGUGUACUAAGAUUUCCCGAUAGUAUUAACGUUAAAAAAAAAAAAUACGCUUCUAAUCUCAUUUAUCAUUUGUAUGAAAUUUAAAUUUUGCUAUAAGAAUUAUAGGUUUUGAUCAUGUGCUUCGAAUGUCCAAGUGUACCCAGCGAUAUCUGGUUUACUCUUGGCUAUCGAGAGCAAUCGUACGUUGGAGGCGCAGCGUAAGAGCAACGCGGUGCACGUGGAUGAAAUAUGUCGCUCAUUUAUUUGUCGAUGCAUUUACUUUGCCAGCAUCGGCAGAAACGUCGAAGUCGCGAGGGAAUCGCUUGGGAAAAGCCGAUAAGAGAAAUCGUCAGUUGCCCGGCCAGUGCGAUCGGGCAGUAUCGAAAGUAUCGCCCGGGCCGUUCGCGCUCGACGAAACGAAGUCGCUUGCAUCUUCGCGCUCCUAUACGCGACCCUGAUACGUUGGCGAGGUGGAUGCCCCCGUCUGGCCCGAUAGAACUUGCCGGGACAAAUAGUCGCUUGUCAGAAGCGAUUUAAGUAACGCGACGAGUCGAGAGAGAGAGAGAGAGAGAGAGAGAGAGAAGCUAUGACGAGAGGCAGAGAUACACAGGUAUUGGCCAUGGCCGUCCAGAAAAGUAGGAAUUUCAAAAGACGCACGUGCGCUCUCCUAUUUUUGUUACAGUUUUGUAACAAAUUUUUCUCGCAGCUGCUAAAGUUCCUUAAAAUUUUUGUGCAAACGGAGAGGAAGGCGAUUACGUGGAAGUUAUCGUGAGAUUUCACGGAGAAUGCUUUCGAGAUGGCGAUGCUGAAACGCGUAUCGGGGUCAGUUAUCUUUUCCUCCACACACACGCACAAUUGUUUUCGUAUUUCGUUCGCUUUAAACACAAGCGAAAUCUUCCUGUUUCCAUUUGCGUCGCCAAGAUAACCGGCUUACUGUUCUCGGUAGAAAGAUAUAUCGCGAAGUCACACGAACUUCCACGUCACACGAGAAAUAUGUUUACUUACGACAAUCGUGAUUAACACUAUUAAUGUAUAGUACUUUUUCGUAGGACGAUUCUCCGCAUUAUUCGCAUGUACCUUCUUGACAUUAUUCGUGUCGGGCCCCUUGAACGUGUCGGGCUUUAAAAAUGGGAAGGGUCGAUAAAGAGCGGGAAAAGAGGGCUCAUAAAGAAAUCUCGAGUCGUCCCUGUCGACGCCUCGCCAUGUGAUUACAGGAGAAUCACAUAAUUCCGGAGGGUAGAGAAAGAUAAUAUUUCGGAAGUUCUCUCGAGGGGCGAACUUGCUAGAGAGUCACGCUUACACGUGUGGUUCGGCGGUGGAAUAUACGGCCCCCGAAGACAAUGAGAAGUUGGGAGAAAAAUAAUUGCGCGGGCGGGCGGGCGGACGGGCGUCGAGCGUCGAGGCCGAAACAAAAGUUUGCCGGCAUUUUUCUCUCUUUUCGGCGGAAACUGGGUGUAAGAGAUAGGAAGCGCGCCGUUGAGUCGCGGAACCGAGUCCGCAAUGCGUGCCGCAUCGAUUUUCCCGUUACCGGGCGGACGCUGGGAGGCGGACGUAUCGAUGACCCUGCUUGUUCCGGUUAAAUGCAAGACGCUUGCGAACGCACGUAACGGGGAUUCUUCAGUCAAUUUGUGUGAUUAGUUGAGUCAAUAUUUUUUAACGAAUGCAGGAAAUAUUGAAAUACAAACGGUUUCUAGAUUAUAAGCGGUUGUAGGAAAAAAGAACAUGCCUGUUUUGAAAAUAUCUUAAUUUUCGAAAUGUUAUGGUAAAUAUUGAAAUGAGAUUAUAUAGCGCGUUAAACAAAUACAACUUGCUUAUAUGAAGAAAUUUUGUAUAGCUUCUCAUUGUUCAAUAUAUCGAGAAAGAAAGUUUAUUAAAAAAAAAAAAAACUAAAAUAUCUAGUCCGAUAAGUUUAAUUAAACAUUGGGUUAAUUCACAAAUUAUUUAGUUGCAGACAAAUAAUUAAUCCGUGCUAACCAUUAACAUUUUUUAAUUAAGAAUUAACUAAAGCAACUGAAUAUUUAGUUGAACGUGUCAGACUAAAUAUUUUAGUUUUUCAACAAAUUUUUUCUCAGUGUAAUAAUGUCUCAGUGUAAAAUUCUCAGUGUAAAAUUUAUAUGAGUUGAGAGAAAAAAUAUCAGACAGAAAGGUACAAUAGUUUCAAAUCAAGUAUUAAAAUCUUUAACAUUAUUAUCAUCAAAAUAAUUAGAUUAUGAGAUUUAUGCUAUUUAGACUAUUAUAACGUUGAAGUAAAAAUAUAAAAAAAAUAUUUUGCUGAAGUUUAAGAUUAUCGAAUUAAAUUAGUUUAAAAGAGUUUAAAAUUACACAUAAGCAAGAUUACUAUUGUUUCAUAUAAUGUAUAAGCAAGAAUAUAAUUUUUUGCUUGUUUUCAAAACAAUAAUUGUUGAAUAAAAUAUAUUAGUUUUAAUUUGAUACUAACGCUUGAUACUAUUUUUUCUGUGUAACAGAGUGCAAAUGUAUUCUUCCGCCUCGCGUUUUGGAUUUUUACGGGUAUUGGCAUUUCCGUGACUAUCAAAGCGAUGUACACCGCGGGUGAUUCGAAAAUAAAGUGAACCAAUUGCGCUCUUCUAAUUUCGAGAAUUGCAUUUACGUAAACCAAAAAUAAAGCCUCCGAACUUCAGUGUUUGUUAAAUGUUGAUAUCAUAUUACAACUUAUUUCGAUAGAGUAUUGAUAAACCCUAUUUAAAUCAAGUCCUUUCGCUAAUGGAUGCUAAACUCGCAUUUAACCAGACAUCCAUAUAAUAAGAUUUAAUUGAGGGACAAUAAUUGUUUGUACAUAGAAUUAUUCUUUAUUACUUGUUUAAUAUUUAAAUAUAUAUGUGUGUAUAUAUACUAUAUAUAUUUAUCAUAAAAUUAUAAAUCCUAAAAUACGUUAAUAUGAAUUGAAAUUAAGAAUAUGUACAAUUCGGCUGUGAUUAAGUAGCAUACAAGAAAUAUUAAUAUUGACUGUACUUUUUCUCAUUGCAAUAAGUGGUAAAUUAAUACGAGAUCUUUUAAACAAAAUUUGUAACGUUUAAAAAAAAUAUCAAUUUGGUUGUACACAAAAUUUUACUAAAUUUAAGAUUAACGAUGAAUUAAACAUUCUUCCUGAUACUUUCGAUAGAUUACAAUAAUAUUCCACUUAUUUCUUUAUAAUACGAUUUCAAUUCCUUUAGAGCAAUGAUUAACCAAGCGAAAUGUUCGUGGUGAAUUCAAAAUCUAACUCAAUUUUACAUGAGCCAUUACGCGGCAUUCAUCAUCUUCCAAAUGUAACUCGAGCACAAUUAUUGUCCGAUUCGGGCGAAAUCACUGGCAACUGCAAUGGCGCCAAGCUCGGAUCGUCUGUCUCUUUCCCUUCCUGAUAUUACUUCCUAAUAAUAGGAAUUAUUGGAUGAAACACCAUCGUUUUAUUUCGCGACGCGUAUACACGCGAGCAAAAUCCCGUCGACCGCAACCGAGUGUGUCGUGACUGAAUACCGUACCAGACAUCGCGUGGUCUCGCGCAAAAGUUGAGCCACAAAUGAAAAUGAAAGGAACUUAAAUUGAUGUCACCCAUUAUCAAAUAAGACAGUAAAAUCAUUUUUAUGAUAUUUAAUUUGUUUUCUUUCUUUAAUUUCGUUUGAUCGCAGCCUUCAGAAUUAAUUUGGGAAUCAUGUUUCCCAAAUUAAAAACACAUGGAAAUUAAUUUCUUCGCAGCAUUCUGCCAACUUUGCAUUUUUAAAUUAAAUUAAAAAUAAAUUUAUAUAGAUAUGUAAAUGAAAUUGAUCUGAAAUUAAAAGAUAUAAUUUUAUCGUCUCUUUUUCCUGGUUCAAUUUGCAGGCAAUUAAUUUCUGACCUGAAAUCAACGGCUUCUUGAAAUUUGUAUGCCUCGGGAUUUCGUUGAUAAAAGAUCAAUUCUGUGCUGGCUGAAGAAUUUGUAGUGAAUAGAACAUCCGGUGGGACAUCCUCUGUAACGCGUAAAAUAGGGACGGACAGGAUCCGAAUUCCCGGCUCCGCGGAAUGAGGUAAACGCAGCACGUUGUCCGCCCGGCUCACGCCCGAAUUCGAAAAGAUGAAACGAAUUCGAAUUUUGUUCAUUCCACGUGGGCGGCCGAGUCUAGAAUUGAAUUCCAGGCGCGAUCGGAAUCCAAUUCGAAGUCCGUGGUUGUCCGCGAGUCCUCUCCCACGCCCUCGCCCUGAUCUCCGAACUCCGGUGAGAAACUUCGCGCGCAGUCAACGCGAUCGUUUUCUUCCCUGCGUCUUCACUUCCAAGCUAUCUUCCUCUCGGCUCCGAUGGGCACAAUCUUUAUCUUUUUUUUUUGUAUUUUUCUUUUUUUUUUCUCAAGUACUGGAAACGCUCUCGUGAAUUCUGGAGCUAUGGCACAUCCUGAACCUGCGGGUACUCUCUCGCUCGAAUUUUCGUGUACACGCUGACAGAGGGCGGCAGAAGAAAGAUUAAUCGCGUGGAUUUCUGCAAAGCACUUUACGAUUUUCACUUUUUACAGAAGAAAAUUUAAGAGACUGGGAGUUCCAGUGACGAUACGUCGCUCGCGCCUCUCUUUCUCUCUCUCUUUCUCUUGACUCGUCCGCGUUGCGCUGCGCUACGCUCAAUUUGCGCAUCGCGCAUCUUACUGGCACGAGCGCGCGCGCGCACAAAAUUCCGCGAUAGCGACGCGUGAUAUAGGCGCCGAGAGAAACUAAUCAUUAACUAGAUCGUGAUUUAAUUGUCGGCGAGAAUGCGCUCCGACGACAGCGCGAACUGGAACUCGACGAGCCGUAGGUGAAUCGUCCCAAUCGGCGGUUAUGCUAAGCGCAAGCGUAAGAGAUUAUAAGAUGAAAAAAAAAGUGAACGCAGAGUGAAGAAAUCCGUAAUCGCAGUGAUAUCGUUAGAAUAGAUAGGUAUAUUAUUGUACAUACUAUGAUAUUACGAUGUUUACUAAAUAAAAAUGUUGAAAGGAAGUGAAGGUGUGGCCUGCUCUUUUGGGCGGAGCUUGUAGAGCCGCAUGUACAUAACGUAUCCUAAAAAAAAAAAAAAAAAAUAAAUGCUCCCUCUGAUAAGUCUUCAACAAUCUCUUCAUUGACGGAAUUAACUGUUUCACGACACGUAGAGUUUAUCGUUUUUCUUUCUAAUCUAUUAUAAUUUACAAUCUGUCACCCGUUGGUUUCAACAGAUAUUUAAAGAACGUUUUAACAAGAGACGUCAGAAGUUUUUUUUCCUCUUCUAUAAUAUUAAUACAAUGUAACAGGGUUUAAUAUAUCAUUAUUAUUAAGAAGCCGUGUACUAAUAAUAUUCUUCCGCCAUUGUCAAUCGAGGAUUUGAAAUUUAUUCUAUAUCUUUUUGAUGUAAAUAGAAGAAGCGGGAGGUUUGUUACAAAGGUGAUGUAACGCUUUUGGAGACGAUCAGUUCGAGAGGCUUCCUUUGUUACAAUCUCCACCUUUGAAGACAUCUUGACGCAGCCGUGGAAACGACCGGAUUCCCCGAGAAAUCCUUUUGCCUCUCUUCAGAUCCGCGUCUUCUUUAUCCCGACAGCUAGGAAUCUUUUAUCAAGAAUGCUCCUUUUUCGCCAGCGAUAAGUAACUAAGGAGCUUCAAGGGGACUCCGUCAAGCGACACUCCCCGAGACGCCACCAGCCAUAUUCGAAAAACACAGGAUGGCGAAUCGGAUCCGGGGAAAAGUAAACGGCGGACAUCAAAAUCCAGUUAACGAGCGUCUGCCCGAAGCUCCCUUAACAGUGUGUCGAGUUUCAACGUUUCCAGCGACCAAAGUGAUAGACGUUUCUUCAUGGUGAAACACCUAAGAAGCGAGUGCUCGCGAGAUGCCACGUCGUUUUGUGGAUUCCGCGGGUAAAGUGCUGUGUUUCAGACAUGGCGGCGGGGGACACGGCGACCCGCCGAAUGCUCGACACAAAGGUGAGCCCCGGACGUGUAGAUGUAACGCGAAAUGCAACCGCGAAAAUUGUUACACAGUCAGCUAACUGUGGCAGCAAGACAAAGCGAGCAUGGAGUGCCUUUAGGCAAUCACUACACAACGCGCGACACAGGUAUUAUACUUGACGUGCCAUUAAUUACAUUGUAGUAGUUUUAACCAUAGACUGACCAAUUUUACAUUAAAUCUCUCGUUACGUAUUUAUUGGAAAAAAUUGGGUCGCAGUUAGCACGCGAGUAGUUUGAAUUUGAAUCGAAUCGAUAGUGAAUUCGAUAGGUGAAAUGAUUUUAUUUCUAACGCUCGAGGAAUUUUACAUACACUUCAUUUGAACCAAGCGAAAUUCUUGCCAUUGACUAAUGAAUUGUUAUCAAUACUUCCACACGUGGACAGACCACAGACAGACCGUACAUGACAAUGAUUUUAUAGUUAAAAGUUGAGUGCUAUCUCGCGUCGAUAUGGUCUCUUACUAAAGCCAGACAAAAGUUGAUCGCGAUAUAAAUUUGUCAAUUAUUUCCGCUGAUGAAGAUUAGGUAUAAUCGAGACGUACUAAUAUAAUUCUAAAGGAAAAUUAAUUGUUUGAAACAACUACACCAUCUAGAUGCUGCUUGUGAUUUGGCCGCCAUCCCUCUACACUUUACAUACAAGAUAUUAUUAUUAAUAAAAACAUGCAUUAUUAGAAGUUUAAGGAUAAUUGUUUAACGAGCAAUUAGAAUCUUCGAGAUUUCACUUUGACGUUAAUUGUGUUUGUCAUAAUGCUGUUAUGACGUCGUUUUAUUAAUAUUAACUUGAUCACGAUACGUUCCACUGCUCGGUCGCUCGACUUAUCGGCUCAUUAGCCCGUCAUACCAAUAAUCUUAUCCUCAGGCAGCUCUCCGAAAUUCUGCAUAAUUUAUACAGCGGAGGAAAAUUAAUCAAUUCAACUUCGUGAAAAUCAAGCUACAAGAAGAUAAAUAAAUCCGCUUGAUCAGCAAGCAAACGCAACUUCCUUAUGCGAUGUGUAACGAAGGAAUUUGUUAUAAAAUAUCACAAGAUAAAAAUGAUAAUGAUAUAUGAUAAUAAUAACAGUCUUUUAUUUACACAAUAAUAUUAUAUUCUCAUAAUUCUUAUUACAAUCAGUAAGAAUUAUGUAAGUUUAAAUUAUCUAGUACAAUAAUUAUACAACGUUUAUUAUUAUAUUAUUUAUUCAACACAUCUUCUAAAAACGCCGUUAAACUAAAGAUACUCUACUGGAGUAAAUCUGCUGCAUUUUCUCUCUUCGCUCUUGAUUCUUCGAAUGGAAAAAUUCUCUGAGCUCUUUCGAUUUUUUGAAAGAAAACGUAUUCUAACGUUGCGAGUCGAUUUUUCGAGCAAGUGCAGAGACACCGAUAAUUUGCGUGACUCUUCUCCAUCUCUACUCCGCUUCCUCCUCUCGGGAGGUGGCGGAGGUGAU